GUCUGGCUGGCUCAGUCGGUAGAGCACAUGACUCUUGAUCUUGAGGUUGUGAGUUCAAGCCCCAUGUCUGGCA
rnacentral:tRNA from 1 species